AUGAUUGAAAGGAACAGAAGAACAGCGAAAUAUUUUUGGUGUUGUAUCAAGUGCAGGACAAUUUUGCCCCUGAAUACAUAAAUAAUAAGGACAAAAACGAAAAAAAAAAAAAAAAAAAAAACUUGUUUGUUUUGUUGUUGUUAAUCACGAUGAUGUUGCUGAUCGUUGGCUGUCUUCUUGCUUCGUCGAUGGCAGAUAACGAGGGAGGGGAUGAAACAGAAUGUAGGGCGACGUGUUUUUGAAUGGCUUUUCUCGGUUCAUCAAAUAGAAAUCAAGGACCGAAUCCUUUAUUUUUUUUUGGACCGAGUCCUUAUGUCUAUAAUUCCUAUCAAACAUGCUAAUUGGUAUUUUAUAGACCCAAUCCCUCUUUGGACCCAAUUAGAUACCUUAUCAAACGACCCCUAAUAUAAAUAAGACAAAAUUAAAUAUAUGGUUUUUGUUAAAAAAAAAAUUAAUGGUCUAUCAGCCGUUCAAUUUUGAAUAAAUAAGACAAAAUUAAAUAUGUGGUUUUAACGAUAAUGACUUAAAAGGGUAAUAUAUUUUUUGAAUUUUGUACACAUUUAGUCCUUAAUAUUUUUGUACAUAUUUAGUCUUUAACAUUUUUUUUGUUUCAAUUAAGUUCUUUUUUUAUACUCAUUCAGUACUUAUAAAUGAUUUCUUAAUAUUUUUAUUAUGACAUCUUACAUGAGACAAUUACUGAUGAGUUGUUUGGGGUUGUUGAUGUUUAUGUCCAACGUGAUUUCGACUGUUUGGUUGCGUAUGUCUUGUGGUUUGGCUUGAUUCUUAUAUUCUGAAUGUCGUAACUUCUUCAUACGAUAACAUAUUUAAGGAUCUUUAUAUCCGCAUUUUCAUUUUUUCAUUAAGAUUAUUCCCGUUAAAAUGUAAUAUAUUUUUACUUACGAUUUUAUAAAAAAAACAUCCAUACAUGCAUUCAUAAAAAAAACGUAUGGACAUGGGCAAACGCAGGAAUACAUUGUUGGUAUUGCCGAGAUGAAAUAGGUGUUGCUAAUACAUGAAAAAUAACUAUAAACGAAAAAAAUUGAAAUUCCGAGAUCAUAUGGAUAUAAAGAUCGUUCGCGUGGAUAUAAAGAUCGUUCGCGUGGAUAUAAAGAUCGUUAAAAUCCGAGAUCGUAUGAAGAAGUUAUGACAUUCAAAACGCAUGACCUAAGCAACCAAGUAGUUGAGAUCGCGAUGGACGUAAGCAUCAAAAUGUCCAAACACUUCAAUAAUGAAUUUCCCACGUAAGAUUUCAUGAGAAAAAACCAAAGAAAUAAUUCAUAAGUAUUUAAUGAGUACAAAAACAAAAAUGCCUUAUUUUGUAAAAAAUUAUAUAUUAAGGACUAAAUGUGUACAAAAAUAUUAAGGAAUAAAUGUGUACAAAGUGAGAAAUAUAUUACCCUAUUAAGUCAUUUUUACCGGCUAACCUGAUUUAGCCGGUUAUAAGGAUUGAAUGUGUACAGUUUAACAAGUUGAAAGGGUAAAUAUGAAUGAAAAAAAAAUCAGUGACUAAAUGUGUACAAAUCAAAAAAUAUGUUACCCUUUUAAGUCAUUAUCCCUGGUUUCAAUUCAUAUCCAAUCUUAAAUGACAGAAUAUACUUUUAAAUAACUUUUUUUUUUAAAUUUCUUUUCAUUAUGUUCUUAUUAUUUUAUAUAAAAAACAAAAAAAAAUCCCACCACUCCAUUCCUCAUCCACCACAAUUAAUCUUUUUCAUUGAGUUCAAUUUGGGACAUAAGGAUUUUAAAAGAAAAAACUUUGUUUGGCUUGAAAAAACUUUGUUUGGCUUCCUUACAUGAAGGGAGAGGCAUGGGCGACAUGAUGUUGAGAAUCGCAACUCUGCACUCAUCAUUGGCGUUGGGAAGAGAAUUUGUCGAUGGGUUGAAAGGAGAUGAGAGAAGUUGUGGAGGAGAUUAUCAACAGUAGAAGGUGAAUGUAGAUUCACC
rnacentral:lncRNA from 1 species